CUAAAAGUGCCUUAUAAAACUGUUCAAGGUGCCUUCUAAAACCUACAGUUUAACACGAAAUUGAAAAUGGUGAGAAGUUUCAAAGCAUUGUGCAGUGUCAUAUUGGAGUCUGGAAAGAGAAACAAAGCUCCAAAUUUGGAAGCAGCAGUGAAACUCCACAGAUUACUGAGGGCAAAAUUGCUGGGUCAUAUGGCACCAAGGAAAGGUCUUGUGCUGACACAGGGAGAAAGCUGUCAUUUACAAGCUGGGAGGAGACCUUCACCAGAAACUGAAUUUGCUACCACCUGGAUCAUGAACUUUUACUCUCCAAAACGGAAGGAGGUGAUGAAGAGAGAAAGAAAGGAUGGAAGGAAGGAGGAAGUGGACAAUGAGCCCAGAGCCCUCACCUGAGUUCCAAACAUUUAAGUCAAACUGCCAACUUCAUUCUCCAUUUGGACGAUUUCUCAACAUGUACAAAACCAAGUCCUGAUUUUUCCGUGACCCCAAAUCUGUUCUAUCUGAAGCCUCCCUAUCUCAGUUACUGAUCCUGGCUGAUGGAUGUAAUGAAGGCAUGAACUAUACUAGUUGAACAAGGAAAUGAACUUGAACCAAAUUGUGAAGUUCUCUGCAGUGAAAUAUUAAAGAUUAGCAAGCUAAACAGAGAAAAAGAUAACACUCAAGAAACUGCCUAUAUGUAAGAGAUUCCUUUGAGAACUUUCAAAUGGCUCCUUUCUACAAAAGACCUGAGAAUACUUAACCCCCCACCACUAGCACACUCAAAGCUCAAGGCAAAUGCAUUUUCAAGAUUGACAGGGUCUUGGACUCUGAAAGUCUUUGGACCCAAGAAAAAUCGUGUUAUCUAAGAGAGCAGUUAUUCUGACACAGACUGAUAUCAGGUGCCUGUGGCAUGAAACACGGAAGAGAAUAAUAGCAUCUACCUUAUAAGAAGACAUACUAUAUUCUGGACCACAUAUCUGAUAAUUCUUACAGCCCUUUAAAGAUAAUCAUAACUAGAAUAUUAUCUUAUUUUGUAGCUCAUAGAUGUCAAAAGACUAGCUCAUAAUUUUAUUGCGGAUACAUAGCAGAACCAAGAUUUGAACUCAGACCUGUCUCAUUCCACAACUCAUUUUCCUUGAAGUCAAUAGAUGCCACUGAUCUCUAAAUACCUACAAAAGGGGCUCGGAGGUGGAGAGGGGAUGUCUGAGGAGCCUUAGGACUACCACCCAAUGUUCUGUCUUUAGAUAGAGAUGCUAUCACCAAUCUCUCUUUCACACAUACUCCUCCUCUUCUCAUUUCUGUUCGUGUACUUGGUUCUCAGUGUAAGAUUUUGUUAGAAGAAAGAGGCAUGUUGGUAAAAUAAGAAAUAAUAUAUCAAAAAUAAAAUAAAAUUGUUUGAAAGUCU
rnacentral:lncRNA from 10 species